AGCGAACGCUGGCGGUAGGCCUAACACAUGCAAGUCGAACGGAAGCACAGUAAGAGCUUGCUCUUACGGGUGGCGAGUGGCGGACGGGUGAGGAAUACAUCGGAAUCUACUCUUUCGUGGGGGAUAACGUAGGGAAACUUACGCUAAUACCGCAUACGACCUACGGGUGAAAGCAGGGGAUCUUCGCACCUUGCGCGAUUGAAUGAGCCGAUGUCGGAUUAGCUAGUUGGCGGGGUAAUGGCCCACCAGGGCGGCGAUACGUAGCUGGACUGAGUGGAUGAUCGGCCACACUGGAGGUGGGACGCGGUCCAGAGUCCUACGGGAGGCAGCAGUGUGGAAUAUUGGACAAUGGGCGCAAGCCUGGUCCAGCGAUACCGCGUGGGUGGAAAAAGCCUUGGGGUUGUGAUGCCGGUUUUUUGGGAGAGAAAAGCAGCAGGUUGAUACCCCGCUGUUCUGACGGUAACCAGAGAAUAAGCACCGGCUAACUUCGUG
rnacentral:rRNA from 1 species